CACGCUGUAAACGAUGAGUGCUAGAUGUUGGUGAAGGAAUUCAUCAGUGUCGCAGCUAACGCACUAAGCACUCCGCCUGGGGAGUNGCGAAAAACCUUACCAGCUCUUGACAUGGUGAUUAUGGAGACCAGAGAUGGUUUCCUUCGGUUCGGCCGGAUCACACACAGGUGC
rnacentral:rRNA from 1 species